rnacentral:rRNA from 1 species
GGAAGGGUGGGGAUGACGUCAAGUCCUCAUCGGCCCUUAUGGGUAGGGCUUCACACGUCAUACAAUGGUCGGUACAGGAGGGUUGCCCAACCCGCGAGGGGGAGCUAAUCCCACAAAGCCGAUCGUAGUCCGGAUCGCAGUCUGCAACUCGACUGCGUGAAGUCGGAAUCGCUAGUAAUCGUGGAUCAGCAUGUCACGGUGAAUACGUUCCCGGGUCUU